UGCUUAGCUCUGCCACUACCCAAGGUCCGUUCGCUACAUUCGUCUGGCAGGGACGGGGGAACCAAAUGCGGGCUUUUUAGAGAAGUCCUUGGGGUGAAGUCGCAGAUCUCUUUGAGAGAGAAGUGGCCGGGUGACUCCCAUCCGAAUCCGACAGCUUACCUCGCAGGCAUUGGGAGAGGUCAA
rnacentral:sRNA from 2 species